GCAGGGAGGGGGCCCAGGACAUUUGUCAGCGCCAGCCUCUGUCCCCAGCCCUUGGCAGCCCUGGCUGCUGAGCCCAGCUUUGGCCUGGGCUGAGUUUGGCUGUGGCCCAGCUCCAUCCUGCUGCGGGGCUCAGGGCCUGUUCCCGGCCAUGGCCAGCCCUGGCCGGCCUCUCUGCUGGCCCAGAGGCCGGCAGAGCCCGGGGCAGGGCUGUCUGUGCAGCCCCACAGGUGCCACGGGCUGGGCAGGAGCUGGCAGAGGCUGCCCAGCAGGGAGGCCAUGGGGCACAGAGCCCCAAGGCUGCCGUGGGCACCACGGCACAGGGGCCGUUCCCAGCCGCAAUGCUCCUGUCCUGGGCUGGGCCUGCACAGGGGCUGUGGCACCAUGGCUGGGCCAGCACAGGGCCACCAAGGGGCCACGCAGCCGCUGCCGGGGCUGGCAGCAAGGCCGGGCACAGACAAGGAAUUGCUGAGCGUGGCCUGCGCUGGCCAGGGCUGACUGUGCCAAAGGCAGAGCUCAGCUGCCCUUGGGGGCUGCAGGAACACUCAGGAGCCCAAAGAGCCUCCAUGGCUGUGCUGGAGACCAAGGCUGGAGCAGGGAAAUGCAGGGCUGCUGCGCCAUGGCGAGGGCAUGGAAUUCCAGCACACACCUCAGCUCUCUGAUGAUCCCGGCACCGUGCUGGGCCCUGUUUCAGCCUGGAGCAGAGCAGAUGUUGAUGGCACAGGAGCCCUGCGGGGCUGGCAGGGACCUGCAGCUUGCAAGGUGCUCUGCUCUCCCUCAGCUCCUCUCUGAGAGAUCCAAUCCCAGCUCAACACCUCAGGGCACAAGUGGCACUGCCUGUUCAUGGGCACACAGCUGAUGUCUGCCUGGAAAGGGGCACAGGUGUUUCCAGCUCUCCUGUUGAAAUGGCCAUGACUAAAGACAUCUCUUCACUAGACCAGGUGCAUCUAUGUACUUCCCUUUGCUCCCAGAUUUCCUCCUCCAGAUGCUUUCUGGUCAUUCAAGGGCCUCUCAACUGACUGGCUUCAUGCUUUGAGCUUCAGGGAGUUGCCCAAUCUUUCUGAAGUUCAAAUAAAUAUCACAUCAGACAACA